rnacentral:rRNA from 1 species
UACGGGGGGGGCAAGCGUUGUUCGGAAUUACUGGGCGUAAAGGGCUCGUAGGCGGCCCUCUCAGUCGGAUGUGAAAUCCCCAGGCUCAACUUGGGAACGGCAUCCGAUACUGGAGGGCUUGAAUUCGGGAGAGGGAUGCAGAAUUCCAGGUGUAGCGGUGAAAUGCGUAGAUAUCUGGAGGAAUACCGGUGGCGAAGGCGGCAUCCUGGACCGAGAUUGACGCUGAGGAGCGAAAGCUAGGGGAGCAA